UACGAGGGGGGCAAGCGUUGUCCGGAAUUACUGGGCGUAAAGAGCUCGUAGGUGGUUUGUCGCGUUGUUCGUGAAAUCUCACGGCUUAACUGUGAGCGUGCGGGCGAUACGGGCAGACUAGAGUACUGCAGGGGAGACUGGAAUUCCUGGUGUAGCGGUGGAAUGCGCAGAUAUCGUGAGGAAGGCCAGUGGCGAAGGCGGAUCUCUGGACAGUUCCUGACGCUGAGGCACGAAGGCCAGGGGAGCAAACGGG
rnacentral:rRNA from 1 species